CGGGUGAGUAACACGUGGAUAACCUACCUAUAAGACUGGGAUAACUUCGGGAAACCGGGGCUAAUACCGGAUAAUAUUUUGAACCGCAUGGUUCAAAAGUGAAAGACGGUCUUGCUGUCACUUAUAGAUGGAUCCGCGCUGCAUUAGCUAGUUGGUAAGGUAACGGCUUACCAAGGCAACGAUGCAUAGCCGACCUGAGAGGGUGAUCGGCCACACUGGAACUGAGACACGGUCCAG
rnacentral:rRNA from 1 species